CUUGACGGAGCCGAGCCACAGCGGCUGGCCGCCGUCACGUUGCCCGUAGGUCGCCAGCAACGCCUGUGCCUC
rnacentral:antisense_RNA from 1 species